UACGGGGGAUGCAAGCGUUAUCCGGAUUUACUGGGUGUAAAGGGAGCGUAGGCGGCUUAGUAAGUCAGAAGUGAAAGCCCGCAGCUCAACUGCGGGACUGCUUUUGAAACUGCCAGGCUAGAGUGUCGGAGAGGUAAGUGGAAUUCCUAGUGUAGCGGUGAAAUGCGUAGAUAUUAGGAGGAACACCAGUGGCGAAGGCGGCUUACUGGACGAUGACUGACGCUGAAGCACGAGAGCGUGGGUAGCGAACAGG
rnacentral:rRNA from 1 species